UACGUAGGGGGGCGAGCGUUUGUCCGGAUUUAUUGGGCUUAAAGAGCUCGUAGGCGGUUUGGCAAGUCGGGUGUGAAAACUCCGGGCUCAACUCGGAGACGCCACUCGAUACUGCUAUGACUCGAGUCCGGUAGGGGAGUGCGGAAUUCCUGGUGUAGCGGUGAAAUGCGCAGAUAUCAGGAGGAACACCGGUGGCGAAGGCGGCACUCUGGGCCGGAACUGACGCUGAGGAGCGAAAGCGUGGGGAGCGAACAGG
rnacentral:rRNA from 1 species